UACGGGGGGUGCGAGCGUUGUCCGGAAUUACUGGGCGUAAAGCGCACGUAGGCGGCUUUGCAAGUCAGAGGUGAAAGCCCGGGGCUCAACCCCGGAAUUGCCUUUGAGACUGCAUCGCUAGAAUUGUGGAGAGGUAAGUGGAAUUCCGAGUGUAGAGGUGAAAUUCGUAGAUAUUCGGAAGAACACCAGUGGCGAAGGCGACUUACUGGACACAUAUUGACGCUGAGGUGCGAAAGCGUGGGGAGCAAACAGG
rnacentral:rRNA from 1 species